GAAGUGGAACAAAGAUUCAUCGCUAAGGGAUGGGGAUGCGUCUGAUUAGGCAGCAGGCGGGUAACGGCCCACCUGGCCGACGAUCAGUAGGGGUUCUGAGAGGAAGGUCCCCCACAUUGGUACUGAGACACGGACCAAACUCCUACGGGAGGCAGCAGUGAGGAAUAUUGGUCAAUGGGCGCAAGCCUGAACCAGCCAAGUAGCGUGCAGGAAGACGGCCCUAUGGGUUGUAAACUGCUUUUGCAGGGGAAUAAAGUGACGGCACUUGUGCCGUUUUGUAUGUACCCUGAGAAUAAGGACCGGCUAAUUCCGUGCC
rnacentral:rRNA from 1 species